rnacentral:lncRNA from 1 species
GCGCCCGGCCACGCUUCCUGGAAGAGAUGCAUUGCGGAGCUCGCUAGUUGGGGCGUUGGCCUUCCUUAGGAGUGUGAGUCUAGCGUUAUCCCUUUUUUCCGGCUGGAUCCCGGGUUACCCCACCAGCCCGACCUCAACCCACUCACGUCCACAGCACGAGCCCCAGCGGCCUUGCGCGGUGCUUGCUCUCUAGUAGCGGCUGACUAGGUCAGUCAGGAUCUUUGAUUUUGGAGCACAAGCCUUCUGCGUGCUACUGACUGGGUCCUGGCCUCCCUCCUUCCAUGGCAUCGUCGUGAAUGGGAAUUUCCACCACUGCCUCCAUUAGGAGCUGCCUCCAGGAUAACCCUGGGUGUGGAGCCCAACCUGAGACACCCAUCGCCUCUCUUACGCCCAACUGAGGGUUUGCCAAGGUCCAUGUGAGAGUCAGAAGAUUGAACAUGUUGUAACUGUAGAAAGCCCGUCAUCCUUGUGUAUGCACUUGCUGAAAGAUCCACUGAAGAGCAACCUUCAUGAACAUUACCAGGGGACUUGUGCUCCUAUAAAACGCACUGUUUUCCUCACUGCGAGGUGGGUCUCUCACCGCGAUGGACUAUCUGUGAUCACAGAGCACUUCUUCCCUGGGCCUUCCCUGUCACACUGAUGGUGUGAGUAUGUAGGGCAGGGGUGGGAGUGAACAUGUUAAUCUCUUUUGAAUAAACUGAUUUUGAAGUAGAUGUCUCAAAAAAAA